CAGGCGGGCUGCCUUACACAUGCAGUCGAACGGCAGCACAACCUAGCUUGCUAGGUGGGUGGCGAGUGGCGAACGGGUGAGUAACGCGUAGGGAUCUGCCCUAAAGUGGGGGACAACCCGGGGAAACUCGGGCUAAUACCGCAUAAUCUCUUCGGAGUAAAGCUGGGGACCUUCGGGCCUGGCGCUUUAGGAUGAACCUGCGUCCGAUUAGCUAGUUGGUAGGGUAAAGGCCUACCAAGGCGACGAUCGGUAGCUGUUCUGAGAGGAAGAUCAGCCACACUGGGACUGAGACACGGCCCAGACUCCUACGGGAGGCAGCAGUGGGGAAUAUUGGACAAUGGGGGCAACCCUGAUCCAGCAAUGCCGCGUGUGUGAAGAAGGCCUGAGGGUUGUAAAGCACUUUCGUUGGGGAGGAAAGACUCGGUACUAAUACUAUCGAGGGAUGACGCUACCCAAAUAAGAAGCACCGGCUAACUCUGUGCCAGCAGCCGCGGUAAUACAGAGGGUGCAAGCGUUAAUCGGAAUUACUGGGCGUAAAGCGCGCGUAGGUUGGUAAGUAUGUUGGCUGUGAAAUCCCCGAGCUCAACUUGGGACGGUCAGCCAAAACUGCUUAUCUAGAGUAUGGUAGAGGAAAGUGGAAUUUCAGGUGU
rnacentral:rRNA from 1 species